rnacentral:rRNA from 1 species
AGUGAAUAGAUACCCGGGUAGUCCUAGCCGUAAACGAUACUCGCUAGGUGUCGGCCACGGUGCGACCGUUGUCGGUGCCGUAGGGAAAGCCGUGAAGCGAGCCACCUGGGAAGUACGGCCGCAAGGCUGAAACUUAAAGGAAUUGGCGGGGGAGCACCACAACGGGUGGAGCUUGCGGUUUAAUUGGAUUCAACGCCGGAAAUCUUACCGGGACCGACAGCGAUAUGAAGGCCAGGCUGAAGACUUUGCCGGAUUAGCUGAGAGGUGGUGCAUGGCCGUCGUCAGUUCGUACUGUGAAAGCAUCCUGUUAAGUCAGGCAACGAGCGAGACCCACGCCCACAGUUGCCAGCGUACUCUCCGGAGUGACGGGUACACUGUGGGGACCGCCGCUGCUAAAGCGGAGGAAGGAAUGGGCAACGGUAGGUCAGUAUGCCCCGAAUAUCCCGGGCUACACGCGAGCUACAAUGGUUGGUACAAUGGGUAUCUACCCCGAAAGGGGAUGGAAAUCUCCUAAAUCCAAUCUUAGUUCGGAUUGAGGGCUGCAACUCGCCCUC